UACGUAGGGGGCAAGCGUUUGUCCGGAUUAUUGGGCGUAAAGAGCGUGUAGGCGGUUAUACAGGUCCGCUGUGAAAACUGGAGGCUUAACCUCCAGACGUCGGUGGAAACCGUAUAACUAGAGUCCGGAAGAGGAGAGUGGAAUUCCUGGUGUAGCGGUGAAAUGCGCAGAUAUCAGGAAGAACACCCGUGGCUAAGGCGGCUCUCUAGUACGGUACUGACGCUGAGACGCGAAAGCGUGGGGAGCGAACAGG
rnacentral:rRNA from 1 species